rnacentral:rRNA from 1 species
GAUGAACGCUGGCGGCGUGCUUAACACAUGCAAGUCGAACGGAAAGGCUCCUGCUUGCAGGGGUACUCGAGUGGCGAACGGGUGAGUAACACGUGGGUGAUCUGCCCUGCACUUCGGGAUAAGCCUGGGAAACUGGGUCUAAUACCGGAUAGGACGAUGGUUUGGAUGCCAUUGUGGAAAGUUUUUCGGUGUGGGGUGAGCUCGCGGCCUAUCAGCUUGUUGGGGGGGUAAUGGCCUACCAAGGCGUCGACGGGUAGCCGGCCUGGGAGGGGGGACGGCCCCCCUUGGGCUGGGGCACGGCCCCGGCUCCUCCGGGGGGGAGCCGGUGGGAAUUUUGCCCCAUGGGCGGCAGCCUGGUUCCGCGGCCCCGGGUGGGGGGAGGCGGCCCUCGGGUUUUAAACCUCUUUCCGCUGGGACCAAGCGGCAGUGACGGUACCCGGAGAAAGAGCCCCCGCCAACCUCGUG